UACGUCUACAUCAUAUUGAAAACACUCUCUCCAGUAUGAUCACCGAAGUUAAGCAACGACGAGCCCGGUCAGUACCUUGAUGGGUGACCGCUUGGAAAUACCGG